UACGGAAGGGGCAAGCGUUAUCCGGAAUUACUGGGCUUAAAGGGUGCGUAGGCUGCUUCAUAAGUCAGGGGUGAAAUCCUAUCGCUUAACGAUAGAAUUGCCUUUAAUACUGUAAAGCUUGAAUGGGGUUGAGGUCAGCAGAAUGUGGCAUGGAGCGGUUAAAUGCAUAGAUAUGCCAUAGAACACCGAGUGCGAAGGCAGCUGGCUGGGCCUACUUUGACGCUGAGGCACGAAAGUGUGGGGAGCGAGCAGG
rnacentral:rRNA from 1 species